rnacentral:misc_RNA from 1 species
AAUUUAACUCAAUUUCUGUGUUUAACAUUCACUGGGGACAAAAAGGAAUGUGAUUUGAAGGACAUGCACAUGCCAGUAUGUGUGUGCAUGUGUUUAGAGAAACAAAGCUCCUUGACAUCUUGUAAACAAUUAAUGAACUCUGAAAACAUUCUUCUCCAGUAUGCUGUCAUCAAAGUGACUGCAGAACUCUAAACCUAAGCCAUUUGGAUAGACCCAACAAAAAAAUGAUGACGAAUAAAAAGAUUUUGUAUGCAUUCCUUACCUUAAACAAAGAUUACACUUUGUU